rnacentral:rRNA from 1 species
UACGAAGGGGGCUAGCGUUGUUCGGAAUUACUGGGCGUAAAGCGCGUGUAGGCGGUUGCCAAAGUUGGGUGUGAAAGCCUUGAGCUCAACUCAAGAAAUGCACUCGAUACUUGGUGACUAGAGGACCGGAGAGGAUAGUGGAAUUCCCAGUGUAGUGGUGAAAUACGUAGAGAUUGGGAAGAACACCAGUGGCGAAGGCGGCUAUCUGGACGGUUUCUGACGCUAAGACGCGAAAGCGUGGGGAGCAAACAGG